rnacentral:lncRNA from 1 species
CUAAAUAAAAUCAUAAAACGACCUCUACAGAUGUCCUAAUAAAACUUGUACGUAAGCGACGGUUCAUUAUGUUCAUUAUUUAUGGAUCUAUUUCAAUUUUUUGAACAUAUUCUAAAUUUGAUGGACAUUUUUUUAAACUCCUGAAUAUGUUUUGAAUAAUAUUAUUUUAGAAAGCAUGAACAUUUCUCAUUUCAUGACAUUUAUUUGAAAUUGUGAUCUUUUUUGUAAAACAUGAACAAUUUUUUGAAAUCGUGAUCAUUUUAUGAUUUUUCAAAUGUUUUUUGAAUUCACAAACAAUUUAUGAUUUCUAAAAAAAUUAACUCACAACUUUUUAAAAUUUAGUUCUUUUAUUAAUCAAAAAUUAAUUUUAAAAAGGAAAAACUAAAACAAAAAAGAGAAAUUAAAAAGGGAAAAACAAAAUAGGAAAAAAAAGAGAAAAGCGAUAGUUGUAGUUUUAUAUAGCUUACAAAAAGUAACCCACAGAAAGUUGUGUCAAUUGGGGGGAAGGGGGGCUCAACGUUGUACAACAUACGAAAACCUUUUUUUACCCAACGCAAGGGACUAAAUAAAAUCAUAAAACGACCUCUACAAAUGUCCUAAUAAAACUUGUACGUAAGCGACGGUUCGUUAUGUUCAUUAUUUAUGGAUCUAUUUCAAUUUUUUGAACAUAUUCUAAAUUUGAUGGACAUUUUUUUAAAACUCCCGAAUAUGUUUUGAAUAAUAUUAUUUUAGAAAGCAUGAACAUUUCUCAUUUCAUGACAUUUAUUUGAAAUCGUGAUCUUUUUUGUAAAACAUGAACAAUUUUUUGAAAUCGUGAUCUUUUUAUGAUUUUUCAAAUGUUUUUUGAAUUCACAAACAAUUUAUGAUUUCUAAAAAA